UAAAAUUUAUUUUAAAAUAAAAAUUUACAUAUAAGAAAGAGACUAAAAAAUACAAAGAACUUAACUAAUUUUAUAAUAAAAAUGUUUUAUUCAUUCACUGAUCGCCAAUUCAUCAAACUCGCUUUUCGUUUAUUAAAAGCAAAUACAAGUUUUCUAUUAUUCGUGGCAGUUAAAAUAUCUAUGAAUCUAAUAUAGAAUACAUAUAAUAUUUAUGAAAUCUAAUGAAUAAUUAUAUGACAUAUAUUUAUAAAAAGAUGUAUCGAAGAUAUUUGUUUUUAACAUCUAUUGAUUUUAUUAAUUUCUGUGAUUGAAUUGAAUAUAAUUUCUGUAGUCAUCGCUGUAAAUCAAAAAAGAUACAUUACAUACUCAAAGUUUUUACAUGUACGUGUAUGCACAAAGUAAUACCAUAAUUACAUUAAUAUUUAUCUUUUUAUUUUUAAAUUUAUUGAAACUAUCAUUAAAAUAUUUUGUGUAAAGAAAAUACGAACAUACCACAAUAGGAAUGGUAUUUACAUCGUUUGGAAGCGUUAUUUUUCAAGAAU